UACGUAGGGUGCAAGCGUUGUCCGGAAUUAUUGGGCGUAAAGCGCGUGUAGGCGGUUCAGUAAGUCUGCUGUGAAAGUCCAGGGCUCAACCCUGGGAUGCCGGUGGAUACUGCUGGGCUAGAGUACGGAAGAGGCGAGUGGAAUUCCCGGUGUAGCGGUGAAAUGCGCAGAUAUCGGGAGGAACACCAAUGGCGAAGGCAGCUCGCUGGGACGGUACUGACGCUGAGACGCGAAAGCGUGGGGAGCAAACAGGG
rnacentral:rRNA from 1 species